rnacentral:miRNA from 1 species
UGAGCGCUCGAUCGAGACGAUC